CAUGUCGCGCCACUGUAGUGGCUUCUUCCUCUGCCUUUCUCUUCCUCUGCUGUCGCCUCCCAACUCUCGUCAGCCUCCAGCCGGCCAUCUCCUUAACACAGAACACCAUGCCUUCAAUUAAGUCGCAGAGUUCUGGUGGAGAGAUAUUUGAAGUUGAUGUGGAAAUUGUCAAACAAUCUGUGACUAUCAAGAUCAUGUUGGAAGAUUUGGGAAGGAAUGAUGAAGAAGAUAAUGACCCAGUUCCUCUACCAAAUGUUAAUGCAGCAAUAUUUAAAAAGGUCAUUCAGUGGUGCACCCACCACAAGGAUGACCCUCCUCCUCCCGAAGAUGAUGAAAACAAAGAAAGGUGAACAGACGAUAUCGCUGUUUGGGACCAAGAAUUCCUGAAAGUUGACCAAGGAACACUUUUUGAACUCAUUCUCGCUGCAAACUACUUAGACUUCAAAGGUUUGCUUGAUGUUACAUGCAAGACUAUUGCCAAUAUGGUCAAGAGGAAAACUCCUGAGGAGAUUCACAAGACCUUCAAUAUAAAAAAUGACUUUACUGAAAAGCGGGAAGCCCAGGUACGCCAAGAGAACCAGCGGUAUGAAGAGAAGUGA